GGGGAUAUAGCUCAAAGGUAGAGCACUUGCCUAGUAUGCAAUAGACCCUGCAUUCAAUCCCCA
rnacentral:tRNA from 1 species